rnacentral:rRNA from 2 species
ACGGAAGGCAGCAGUGGGGAAUAUUGCACAAUGGGCGAAAGCCUGAUGCAGCGACGCCGCGUGAGUGAAGAAGUAUCUCGGUAUGUAAAGCUCUAUCAGCAGGGAAGAAAAUGACGGUACCUGACUAAGAAGCCCCGGCUAACUACGUGCCAGCAGCCGCGGUAAUACGUAGGGGGCAAGCGUUAUCCGGAUUUACUGGGUGUAAAGGGAGCGUAGACGGUUUGGCAAGUCUGAAGUGAAAUGCGGGGGCUCAACUCCUGAACUGCUUUGGAAACUGUCGAACUAGAGUGCAGGAGAGGUAAGUGGAAUUCCUAGUGUAGCGGUGAAAUGCAUAGAUAUUAGGAGGAACACCAGUGGCGAAGGCGGCUUACUGGACUGUAACUGACGUUGAGGCUCGAAAGCGUGGGGAGCAAACAGGAUUAGAUACCCUGGUA